UGACCUUUAGCCUCCUGUAUAACUAAUAUAUGUACCAAGCUUCUCAGCGAUUAUCUCUCUCCCUCUUCUAGAAUGUGAUCCUCACUCAGUGUCUGAUCCAUGGACAAACGAGGGAGUUCUGGGCCCCAAGCUGGCUGCAGGGGUGGGGGCCGCCCCCACCUCCCACAGGGAAGGAAAUUAUACGUCAGUGCUGGAAAUACCUGUGUCAAAGGAAUGGGAACGGCAAACCUUCCAGUCACAUUUUAUUUGUUCUGGGACCAUGAAAAAAAGGCCAAGAGGGAAAAGCCCCACGGCUUUGCGGAAGUGAUGUGUCUCCCGCCUUCCCUUCUGCGUCCAGGAUACCUGGAGGCUGGCACCGUCACUAUCCCCAUUUCAGAGAUGAGGAAACCGAAGCUCGGGAAAGUUACGCCACUCGCCCCGGGACUCUGGCUUCUGGGGAGGUCGCUGCUCAGGCUCCUGGCUCCAGGCAUCUCCGCCGGUUCCCCUGCUCUGCUGCCCCAUCACCCAUCAGUGCUGCUUCCCCAUCCAGAAAGCUCGGGGAGCCCAGCCCUGGGAAAAUGACACGAUCUUCCCCCUGGGUGCAGCUGGCUCUUGUCCCUAUUGGUUAACUGUCUCUGGGAGGGACAGCAGGCGGAGGGGAGGCGGGAUGUGAGCCGGCGAGACGGGGGGCCACCCCCAGGGCUGUGUGCACAGUGCCAGCACCCAGCACCCUUGGCUGGUACCUGGCACCUCGGGCCGCAUCCGGCUGGUGCAGAAAGUGAAUAAUGAGGACGAGACCUUCAAUUUAGUUACAUGUUGGUGGCGCUGAUGAAAUCUUCUGUUCCUUCUCUCAUUUGUUCCUUUGACUCAUACAGAAACCUUUAGUUAGAAGACGAAUGGAUGAACAAACGAUGGGGUCAGGAAAGGGUGUGAAGAGACCAUUUAAUAAUUUCAUUUGUCUCUGCUCUCCUGACUCCUGCCUGUCAUGGUAGAAAACUGUAGAAAUGGAAAAUAAGCCAUUUAUAAGAGCCAUGAGGGAAAAGCUGCAAGAGAAAAGCAAGUGGGCUAUAAGGAGGUUCAGCUCUGGACCCAAACUGCAUUUGGGAUUGACUUUGGUUUCAAGGAAUUUGAGAAAUUUGAAUAGGGUCAUUGUUUUCUCCCCUAAAACGAGUACCACUAAGUCAGAUGACAAUGUAUAAUGUGUCCUCAUGAAAGGAAGCUUAUUAAUGAAAACCCAAUAUAUUUAUUGCUUCAGACCUCCAUGUUUUGGGUUGAUCAAGGAGCACCAGGCUUGCUUUCUCGCUCUGGCAGCAAAUCUCUAACAGUUUCCUGAGACAGGAAGAGGCCAUGAGCAGGCAGAGGUACCCGCAGGCACCGUGUGAAGAAGGAGCAGAGAUGCAGCUACACGCCCGGGAACGCCAAGGACAGCCGGUCAGCACCAGGCACUCAGACACGCCCCGGAGGAGAGUCCCCCUCACGGCCCUCAGAGGACACCAACCCGCUGACACUUGGUCUUGGGCUUCUGGCCUCCAGAACCGAGAGAGAACAAGCCUCUGUUGUUGCAAAGCCCCCGUGUGUGGCCUUGGUUACAGCGGCCCCAGGAAGCCAACGCACUGGCCCCUCACGUCGUCGAGAAUUGUCAAGGUAGAGGAUAGAAGGAGGAGUCUGUGGAGACCAGUGACUUCACGCUUGUCACCACGUCCAGUUUGUGAAGCUGCUGAUCAUGCAGGAAACACAGAGGAUACUCCCCGUGGGGGGCACCGGCCAAGGGGCCCCAGGAGGGAGCCCAGUGUGACGAAGGAGAGACGCAGUUUACUCGGGAGCCUGGAAGAGAGGCUGGCAUCCUAAUGUCAGAAUGGAGAAACAUUCACCGGGUAGAGCUAUACAGAAAGGAAUAAGCCAAUCACAGCUUCUAUGCAUUGGACUACAUGGUAUCUUUGGAAAGUUUACAGGACAAAAGCCACUGCAAAAUGC